rnacentral:SRP_RNA from 1 species
CGUAUGGGACUGGGCGGCAUCACACCUCGAACCUGGUCAGGACGGGGACGUAGCAGCCAUAAGGGGCCUCUGGUGGGUGCCCACUCCCAUACGGCG